rnacentral:rRNA from 1 species
GACGAACGCUGGCGGCGUGCUUAACACAUGCAAGUCGAACGGAAAGGCCCUGCUUUUGUGGGGUGCUCGAGUGGCGAACGGGUGAGUAACACGUGAGUAACCUGCCCUCGUCUUUGGGAUAACUUCAGGAAACUGGGGCUAAUACCGGAUAGGAGCUCCUGCUGCAUGGUGGGGGUUGGAAAGUUUCGGCGGUUGGGGAUGGACUCGCGGCUUAUCAGCUUGUUGGUGGGGUAGUGGCUUACCAAGGCUUUGACGGGUAGCCGGCCUGAGAGGGUGACCGGCCACAUUGGGACUGAGAUACGGCCCAGACUCCUACGGGAGGCAGCAGUGGGGAAUAUUGCACAAUGGGCGGAAGCCUGAUGCAGCAACGCCGCGUGCGGGAUGACGGCCUUCGGGUUGUAAACCGCUUUCGCCUGUGACGAAGCGUGAGUGACGGUAAUGGGUAAAGAAGCACCGGCUAACUACGUG